GAUGAAAACGUAGCGAAAUGCGAUACUUGGUGUGAAUUGCAGAAUCCCGUGAACCAUCGAGUCUUUGAACGCAAGUUGCGCCCGAAGCCAUCAGGUUGAGGGCACGUCUGCCUGGGCGUCACAUAUCGUUGCCCAAUGCCUAUUGCAGUGCAAUAGGAAUUUCUAGGGCGAAUGAUGGCUUCCCGUGAGCGUUGUUGCCUCGCGGUUGGUUGAAAAUCGAGUCCUUGGUAGGGUGUGCCAUGGUAGAUGGUGGUCGAGUUAGAACGAUACCGAUCAUGUGCAUGCUCCCCAAAAUAUGGCCUCUAUGACCCACACGCGUCUUUUGACGCUCAUGACGAGACCUCAGGUCAGGCGGGGCUACCCGCUGAAUUUAAGCAUAUCAAUAAGCGGAGGA
rnacentral:misc_RNA from 1 species